rnacentral:rRNA from 1 species
AGAGUUUGAUCCUGGCUCAGAGCGAACGCUGGCGGCGUACUUAACACAUGCAAGUCGAACGAGGAGCUUCGGUGUAGCAAUACAUCGGAGCUUCUAGUGGCGUACGGGUGAGUAACACGUGGGCAACUUGCCCUAGAGACCGGGAUACCCUCUCGAAAGGGAGGCUAAUACUGGAUACGUUCUUCGGGUCGCAAGAUCUGGAGAGGAAAGGUGGCGCAAGCUACCGCUCUUGGAGAGGCUCGCGGCCUAUCAGCUAGUUGGUGAGGUAAUGGCUCACCAAGGCUAUGACGGGUAGCUGGUCUGAGAGGACGACCAGCCACACGGGAACUGAGACACGGUCCCGACUCCUACGGGAGGCAGCAGUGGGGAAUUUUCCGCAAUGGGCGAAAGCCUGACGGAGUGACGCCGCGUGGGGGACGAAGGCCUUCGGGUUGUAAACCCCUGUCAGAGGGAAAGAAGGGUGUCGGCGUGAUAACCGCCGGCACUUGACGGUACCUUCAGAGGAAGCCCCGGCCAACUCUGUGCCAGCAGCCGCGGUAAGACAGAGGGGGCAAGCGUUGCUCGGAAUCACUGGGCGUAAAGGGCGCGUAGGCGGGAUGGCAAGUCGGUCGUGAAAUCUCUCGGCUCAACCGAGAAACGUCGGCCGAUACUGCCGUUCUUGAGGGAUGCAGAGGAGACUGGAAUUCCCGGUGUAGCGGUGAAAUGUGUAGAGAUCGGGAGGAACACCGGUGGCGAAGGCGGGUCUCUGGGCAUUUCCUGACGCUGAGGCGCGAAAGCGUGGGGAGCAAACGGGAUUAGAUACCCCGGUAGUCCACGCUGUAAACGAUGACGACUAGGUGUGGGGGGGGUUAGUCCCUUCCGUGCCGCAGCUAACGCAUUAAGUCGUCCGCCUGGGGAGUACGGCCGCAAGGUUGAAACUCAAAUGAAUUGACGG